UCCCCUUUUCCCUCGUUCCAAACCAGCAUUGACACUCGUUCACAUUUUCACAAAUGAACUUCAACCCUAGCCUUAUCUUUCUCUCAAAUCCCAAUCCACAACAACCUGAAUUGCUCAAUGCCGGACAUCCUUGGAUCAGUUCGAAGUUCCUUGGUGUUCCGGUCCACUUCCGGGGACGAUGGCGGAGGUUUCGAUGGCCUGGUCGAUAAGAUUGGCACCAGCGUCCGUAAAUCGCGCAUCAGUUUGUUCUCGAGGCCGCAGGUAACGGAAUUUCCGCCAAUCAGGAGGUAAGAUACUCGUCCUAUCCGAUAAAGAAAGGGCAAGUUGAUUGGGUGUGGUGCAUUUGGUCGCGUUUAUAUGGGGAUGAAUAUCGAUUCUGGAGAGCUUCUCGCCGUGAACCAGGUUUUAAUUGCAGCAAAUUGUGCAUCAAAGGAGAAAGCAAAGGGUUUUAAUUGGUUGGUGAGGUCAAAAAACAAUGCUGCAUGGAGGAAAGGUUUAUGGCAAACAGAAAGGUUUCAGAAGGCGAAGAUCUGUAGAUGCGUGGAAGACCUGGAUUCUUGAUCAAAAAGGAAGACACCUGAUACGUGGAAGCAGGCAGAAAGCAUUUGGCCAUGGAACAUGACCGGCCCCAUCCAUUACAUAACAGGUUGGCAACACAUAAAAAGGUAAUAUUAUAUUAUUAUGUCAAUAUAAUAUCUCCAUUGAAGGAAAAUAAAGAGCAUAUCUUUUGCAAUCUAAUGCACAGAUUGCCCGUACAUACAUGUCAAACAUAAGAUGGUCUGACAUAAUUGAGCUACUUUGUAGAUGUUUCAUUGGAACAUAUAUAUAUAUCUAUAUAUCCAUCUGUAAAAGCUAGCUACUAGAGUAGUAAGUAAGGUCUCUGCAUGCUUUGGAAGAAGCUUUCCCUUGUAACUUCCAGACGAACAUGAUACAUGUAUGGUCUCACUUCUCAGUGUCGGUUCGUACACUAAACCAACUUGAUACCUCCAUCUCUGUCCUUCCUGUACUGUGUAUUAUAUAAUGUUCUACCCAACUCUAGGGCAGCGCCACAAGCUUCUACAAUGUAUACAAUGUAAAUGUGGUGAUGCUAGUCGAGUUAUCGAGUAGUGAAAAGGUUAAAUCUCUUGUCAUUUACAGCAAUCACAAUGAUGAUUUUUUUGAUGAAGAAUAAGUAAUG